CCGUGCUCGAUUGUUCUUCCUGGUUACAUCAUUUGUUGUGGCAGUCUCCUUGGUCGCAGGUCUAAAUGCAUUUCUAAUAUCCCGCAAUGAACUUUGAUCUGCCGCAGAGCCCGGCGACAGUCACAGAGAUAUCUCCUAUCUCCCUCCACGGGUUCGCUCUCGUCCCGGUGACCAGCUUGGGGGCGGGGGGUGAACCGGGGAGCCUCGACAUUGCACCUGGCUCCGGAGUGAUACAGGUGUUGUGCCGAAAAUCUCCCCCCCUGACAGAAUUCGCCCCCCCCCCCCUUUCUAAUUUCCUUAAUUUUGUGACUAGAGUCAAAUACCUUCUGUUGCACACAUCAGAGUCAAACACUUUAUAUAGAACAAACCGAAAUUAAUUAUUAAUGUAUCUGUGUUAUUAAACAUAGAGGGAGUAAAAUGUUGGCAAGCAAAAAACAUUUCAGAACAACUAUGGCUGAAUUAUUAUCCUUACACUUUCAAAAAUACUAGUCGAAUAAGACAUGGGAGAGAUGAUGAAUUUUGGCAAAGAGAUUAAUUUAUAGACUAAUACAAAUCAGUAGCGGAUUUAGGUACGGGCGACAUGGACAACCGUCCAUAGCCAAACCGAAAACUGCAGACAAAAAUGGUUUCUGCUACUAAGAUCAGUGAAAUGUAGGCUAAACUGACAACGGAGUGAAAAGCAGAAAUCUCAACUAGCAAGCAAGUCGCAGCAAUGAAGAACGAGAAGGGCAGGGGGGAGAUUGUCGGCACAACACCGGCCGAGGAUGGGACAACACCACCUGUCGCCUUCAUUGCUGGGAAUUGUAUGCGUCCCCACAGAAUCUGACCCUCAUGGUACCAGUGUGUCCUACCUGGGUCAGUUGACCUCAGAGGCAAGACCUGAACUGCAGUCAGAUGCCCCUCCACAGCCCCUCCUGCUCCAAGACAACAUGUCAUCCCUCCAUACCAGUAUGGAGCUCCUCAAGGGGGAACCCCACAGCCCUGCCACCCAGCCCCUGUCUCCCCUCCCUCCCCUGGGCCUGAUGGUGUCCCUGGACCCCUGUCUGCUGCUGGAGGAGGACCAGGAACCACUGGAGUUUCAUACUCAGAUUGAACCAAAGAAACGGAAAAGGUGGCUGGCCGAAGAAGAGGAAACCUCAGAGAGAGUUAACAACACCCAUAGCUCCAACAACAGGGAAUGUUAUUUUUGUGAAUGAGAAGAGAAGCUGCAGCUGAGAGAGGAGCACCUGGACCUCCCUUUCACUGAGAUCAGCCACAUGCUGGGGCUGCAGUGGUCCCAACUGGGCCCCAACGACAAGCAGAAGUACAACCAAGAGGCAGAGAAGGACAAGCAGCACUACAUCACAGGGCUGACAGACUACCAGAACACUGAGGCAUACAAAGACUUCCUCCGGAGGAAAGCCCUGAGCAGAGGACCAAAGCUCUAUGUUGACCCCAGGGAGUUGACAUUGAGAUGGAGGAGGAGACCAUGGCUUUGAAUCCCAUAGAUAGGAGUUUGAGAAGGACACAGGCAGCCAACAGCAGGCUCCAGAGAUGGAGAGAGGCCCUGUGGAGGAGGAAGAGGAGGAGGAUGAUGAAGAGGAGGCAGAGUUGGCUCGUACGUUGGGUCUGUCCUCGCUGGACUUCAGUGUGCUGCAGGAGCUGCUGCUCAGACAUAUGAAGCGAGCGCAAAAAGUGUGGAGUCUGAGAUGCAGGUUCUCAGGGCCUCCAGGGAGAGCCUGGACUGUCAGCUCCACACCCUCACCAUGCAACCACUGCUGUUCCACACAGACAGAGGUAACAGGCUUCUGCAGAAACAGGCUCUGCCCAUCGCUGCCCUGACGAAUUGAUGAGCAGAGCCGCACAGGAAGAAGGGAACCUCGGGUAACCAUAGCAACCAGCCAGGGGUCGUGUGAGAACGGCUCUGGGAGAAGAGGUGGAUGAUGAAGAUGAGGAUAAAGGAUGCAGCCCGGGAGAAAGAAUGGAGGCACUUCAAACAAGGACCGCAAGGGGCGGACCGCAAGGGGCGGACCGCAAGGGGCUGACCGCAAGGGGCUAGUCACCUACAGCUGGCAGCUGUACACGUCUGUUUUUGUUCUGUUUGUGGAUUUGAGUGUUCCUUUGGUUUUGGGGUGGUUUUAUUUGUUUUGAGCGAUAAGUCAGUUCUCACAGCUUUAAGUCUUUUGUAAACUGUUGCAAUGCUAAUGCACACAUACACUACCUAUGUUUGUUGCUAGUGAGUAUGUGCGCAGUAGAAUGUUGCUUAGUUAGCAGCUUUGGUAUAGGACACUGCAUUACAACACCGGGGCAGUGUGUAUGUAUAGUCUAUGUAGCAGCAUGUACAGGCUUUGUUAAAUGUUUUCUUAACAUUGUAAUGAACACACUAGAAUGUUUACUUUCCAACCACUGAAACAAAUAUACCCAUUCCAUUUCCUAUCCUGAGCCCACGUGUUGUUCCCUGCACUGGCCACACAGUAGCUUUUUAUCUUGAUUCUGAUCUAGAUAUUCUAGCUCUGUGUUUUUGUUCUCAUACACUGUUAACUUCACAGACGGCGAUCUGUUUACAUUCCGUUAGGUCUUUGAAUGGACAGGGACAUUCCGUUAGGUCUUUGAAUGGACAGGGACAUUCCGUUAGGUCUUUCAAUGGACAGGGACAUUCCGUUAGGUCUUUCAAUGGACAGGGACAUUCCGUUAGGUCUUUCAAUGGACAGGGACAUUCCGUUAGGUCUUUGAAUGGACAGGGACACUCCGUUAGGUCUUUGAAUGGACAGGGACAAAUCAAUAAAUGCUACACCAAGCUCUUUCUCCACCAACAUGUACUCUGUGCAGUCUGUGGUCUGCUCUGUUUGUGCUUUUGGCUGUUGUUUUGGGUAACUAUGUGGGACACCAGAAUCAAACCCAUCUACUCUACCUAUUAGAGUGUAAGUCAUGCCUACGAAGCCUAGUCACUUACAGUUGAAGUGGGAAGUUUACAUACACCUUAGCCAAAUACAUUUAAAGUCAAUUUUUCAC
rnacentral:lncRNA from 1 species